rnacentral:rRNA from 1 species
UACCCGCAGCUCAAGUGGUGGUCAUUAUUAUUGGGCGUAAAGGGCUCGUAGGUGGUUUGUCGCGUCGGGAGUGAAAACGCCGGGCUUAACUCGGUGCUUGCUUUCGAUACGGGCAGACUAGAGGCAUGCAGGGGAGAACGGAAUUCCUGGUGUAGCGGUGAAAUGCGCAGAUAUCAGGAGGAACACCGGUGGCGAAGGCGGUUCUCUGGGCAUGUCCUGACGCUGAGGAGCGAAAGUGUGGGGAUCAAACAGG